GGGGUUACCCAGGUCUGGGACCCCAUGCAUGAGUAAUAAAGCUGCUCCUGACCUCACCAUUCCUGAAGUACCACUUGUUCUUCCUCUGCCUGGGUAAAAAGUAGAAUUUAUUUCUACAACAUUUUGGUGUGUUGGCUGGGAACAACAAGCACGUUGGGCCUUUGAGCCAUGGGCUUAGGAGGAUGCAUGGUGGGGGAUAGGAAGGAGAGCCAAGGAAGGGGGAGAGCUUGCUGCUGAGGACUUUCUGCCGUCUCUUGCUUGGUUACUCCUGCGCAGCCCCCACGAUACCUUCCAGGCCUGACUUCCAAAGGGCUGAGUGAGGCCAGGACCUGGUGCCUAAGUCAGACCAGGUUCUCUGGGCUAUCUCCAGGGUUUUUCCAGUCCUGCCAAUGGAAGCACACUUCCUUACCUUUCAUGGAGGUCUUUGGAACCCGUCUCAGGUUCCACCCCCGUGGAUGCAUCACUCCGAAGUGAAACUGGCCUACAAACCAGAAAAAGGACACUUCAGCCAGCGGAUGGACAGCAGCCCCUGAUCUGGAGAAUCCCCUUCGCUUGAGGCUACAGAUGGAUCCACCCACCAAGGCGGCCUUAGACAUCAAGCCCUGCUCCGGCCACACUCGGGAAGCUGGUUGGACCAUGCAUGGCAGAAACUUGAGGACCUUUUACAUGUAUGUUUUGUUAUUUUUACCGUUCCUGUAGUGACUGUCUUUGCAGUCAGCCUCGCCACAGUGGCCCCUGACCGUUUGGAUUGGGAGGCCUACUUGCCUCUGGUUACCUGAUUCUGUGUGUGGACAUAAUUGUUUUCAAAUGUUUGCUAAAAUGGGCCUGCUUGCCAGUGUCCUCCUACACCUGCCCCUCACUCUCCCUUCUGUUUGUGAGGACUUAUCUCCCAAACCCCUAGUAACUGCAGUGAAGCCAGGGUGUGUACCCAGCCUGACAGAAGGGCCACAAAGAACAAGGGAGCUCUCUGGUCUCCCACACCCUGGGCUUCUUCUAGUUGCUCCCACAGACGCCUGUGUCCCAGCUAAUUGGUGCUGCACACAUGGCUCUCAGCCGCUCUAACGUGGCUCUUGCUUCAGAUUGAGGGAUUUGCUUAGGGCCAGGUCCUGCCAGUUUGAGGGAGUCAUACUUGACCCAGGUUUGAUCCCUCCAAAGGUAUCACCUAAUUGCUCCUUGGAUCUCAUCCUAGGUCCUGUGUCUCCGUGGGAAAUGCUACAAAUCCCUUGACUCACACUUCUAAGAUCUGCGCCACACAGAUGGCACUUACCUGGCCUGUGCUCAGGGACUGUAUCAGUGAAUUGUUCCACACAACCAGUCAUGCUUCAUUGUCAAACUAGUGCCUAACUUGUCUGUUUUAACUGGAAGGGAUGCACUUUCAGUCUGGAAGCCCCCUCAUCGUGAAAAGAGGGUUCUUGUGGCCAUCCCACUUUUAGUGGGUCUGCUGGCUGCUAUGGGUACGGCUGGGAUAGGAGUGUCUCAGGUUCGUUAUAAUGAACCAGCUCAAGUCAGAUUUUGAUGCUUUUACGAAGUCAGCCCUAGCCCUCUAACACAACUUGACUCCUUGGCAGCUGUAGUGCUCCAGGACUGGCAAAGACUAGUGGGCCUGCUCACCACUGCCCAAGGAGGUAUCUGUGUGGUAGGGAAGAGGCCCUGCAGCAGCCAACCAACCAAGAUUGCUCCUCCCUGGGGUUCCGGUGACUAUCACCUCACAAUGGCUGCUGGGUAAUAAUCAGGGUUCCCUUUAGAAAAAGGUAUAGAGGUGAUGCCCUGUAAGAAAAAUAACUCACAAGGGCAUCAAAGAGGGGAAUGAAGUGAAAAUAUAUUAUUGAGCAAAUGAAUAUAAUAAAGAUUCCAGCAGAACUUCCGGCCCAGGUGCAAUGAACACAGGCAUAAUCAAAAGUUUACUUACUUACAUCUCCUUCCCUUUCAAGAUUUACCAUCCUCAGCACUCUUGUCUACAAGGUCAGGCAGCCGGCCAAGCUGGUCUGUCUUUCCAAGGCCAUCCCCGAAUGCCUGCAUCUUUCCCACCUUGUCUGGGGACUUUGCCUCAAAUGGUUGUGCCUGCUGAAAAACGAUGUUAUCAGUGUAACAGAUAUGGACACAGUUGUGUAUAAAAAGAACUCUUGGUCUUUAAACAGGUGCUCAGACCUUAUGGGGCUACCCAGGUCUGGGACCCCAUACAUGAGUAAUAAAGCUGCUCCUGAA